UACGGAGGAUGCAAGCGUUAUCCGGAAUGAUUGGGCGUAAAGCGUCCGCAGGUGGCUGUGUAAGUCUGCUGUUAAAGAGUCUAGCUCAACUAGAUAAAAGCAGUGGAAACUACACGGCUAGAGUACGUUCGGGGCAGAGGGAAUUCCUGGUGUAGCGGUGAAAUGCGUAGAUAUCGAGAGGAACACCUGCGGCGAAGGCGGGUUGCUGGGCCGACACUGACGCUGAGGCGCGAAAGCCAGGGGAGCGAACGGG
rnacentral:rRNA from 1 species